GGGUCCUUGUUCUGGCCAUUAGCAGUACAUAAAUAUAAAAUAUUAACGGGGAACAGUUUUGUAGGGAGUCUGUGUGCCUAAAAGCAGCUCGUCGAGUAUGAUCCACGCUCCUGAGCGCCUUAUUGAGAGCUUGUUGCUCGGUUAACUCGCCUAGUGAUACUUGGCUGGAAACCGCCUGGCCGCUCGGCGUGUACUGGUCGGCGGGCUUUUCUGUGGCAUGCCGUGGCGUGGGAACAGGACUUUUACUGUGAAAAAAUUAGAGUGCUCAGCAGGCAUGCUCGAAUACAUUAGCAUGGAAUAAUAGAAUAGGACGUGUGUUCUAUUUUGUUGGUUUCUAGGACCGCCGUAAUGAUUAAUAGGGACAGUCGGGGCAUCAGUAUUCAAUUGUCAGAGGUGAAAUCUUGGAUUAUUGAAGACUAACUACUGCGAAAGCAUUUGCCAAGGAUGUUUCAUUAAUCAGGAACGAAAGUUAGGGGAUCGAAGACGAUCAGAUACCGUCGUAGUCUUAACCAUAAACUAUGCGACUAGGGAUCGGACGGUGUUAUUUUUUGACCGUUCGGCACCUUACGAGAAUCAAAGUGCUUGGGCUCCAGGGGGAGUAUGGUCGCAAGGCUGAAACUUAAGAAAUUGACGGAAGGCACCACCAGGGGUGGAGCCUGCGGCUUAAUUUGCACCGGAUCCCGGUCAACACAAUGAGGAUGACAGAUGAGCUUUUCUGAUUGUGGGGUGGGCCGUAGGGUGAGUGAUUGUGCUAAUUGCGAAACGACGAGACUUAACCUGCUAAUAGCCGUAUUGCUCUGGCAGUCGCGGCUUCUUAGAGGACUAUCGGCUCAGCGAUGGAAGUUUGAGGCAUAACAGGUCUGUGAUGCCUUAGAUGUUCUGGCCGCACGCGCGCUACACUGACGGAGCCAGCGAGUACUUCCUUGUCCGAAAGGUCCGGGUAAUCUGUUAACUCCGUCGUGCUGGGGAUAGAGCAUUGCAAUUAUUGCUCUUCACGAGGAAUCCUGUAGCGCAGUCAUCAGCUUGCGUUGAUUACGUCCUGCCUUUGUACACACCGCCCGUCGCUACUACGAUUGAAUGGCUCAGUGAGCGUCCGGACUGCCAGAUGUGCAACUACGCUCAGGCGGAAAGCUCCAAACUCGGUCAUUAGAGAAGUAAAAGUCGUAACAAGUCUCGUUGGUGAACAGCGGAGG
rnacentral:rRNA from 1 species